UACGGUGAACAACUCGCUCGUGUGUGGCAUUUCCUAACAGUGUUGGACUGAAACCGUGUGGAACUAGCAAGCAAGGAUACUGGAAAGGGGUUGAAGCAUCCUGACCGACGGUUGUUUGGAUCACUACUGGUGGACGAAAGGUGCUGCAAGCCUAAAUUUGUUCGACUUUUUGCUCGUUGCAAAUGAAAAUAUUGAUCUAAUUGAUUUGAUCGUAACCCGUACCCGUUCCUUUUGUAUGGCGUGUAAAGCGGUGAAGAGUAUCUGUUGUGUGUGAUGCGCGCAAUCAGUUAAUCGAGAAAAAAAUUAUCAGCUUCCUGAUAACGAUUUAUUUUCGAUUAGAGUUCAACCGAAGAUUUAAGUGUGUACACGUGAGUUAAUAGAGGUUUAUUUAUACUGUUUUGGUGUUUUAUCUAGAUACAUGUGAAAAAGUUGAUUGAUUACGGAAAACAAAAGUGUGGAUUUGGAGCUUAUAUGAGCCACAACGAAGAAAAAUAAUUUACAAUAGCGUCCAAUAUAUACGAAGAAAUAUAUAGGAAGAUUUUCGAGUGAAUGCUAAAAGAGUAUGAUGUGUACUGAAGAUGAUGAGUUUCUAGACGACAAGCGCAUGCAAUUGAUUCAUGUGGCCGAUGCCGAUGGCAGAGUUAAACUCAAAUAAAUGUGCAUUAAGGUAAUGUUAAAAUGUUAUGAUGCAUUCUUAUACUGUUCAGUGAAGCUUUUUUUUUUGUUUUGUGUUUUUGUUAGGAAACUCAUCGUGUAGUGAAAGAUUAUUUAGGUAGCCAGUUUCAUACGUAAUGAACUUUAGCAAAACGAAAGUUCCAACGGUGGUGCGAUGCACUUUGCAGCCAACGGAAUAUACUGAUUGGGAACCUUUGAAAUGUGCACACAAAGCAGUGCUGAAUCAGUGUCAAGUGAAUAAAAACAAUCAUUGGGAAGAUACAAUUAAUCAACCUCUUGUCACGCGCCGGAGACUACUGUAUUAGUCGGAGUGUUAGAAAAAAAAAAUCAGCGAUAACAGAAGAUUGUAAUAUAAAAAAAAAACAAAACGUCAAGAGGCGACUAGUGCAUUUUGCAGAAUAAAAAAAGGAAUAACGAAUUCUUUCAUAAUAAAUUUCUCUAUAUUACUUCAAGUGGUGUGAUUACAAAGAUUUUUAUAUGUGUGUAUCAACCUGUAUGGAAAUAACUCCCGCAAUCUGGAUCGGUGGCUAUCUGUUCAGUAGCAUUAACGAAUGUGACAUUUUAUUAAUACAAAAUAAAAAGGUACAAUGAGGCCAAAUAAAUACGAUGUUACCACAGCUUACCGUCUAUGCCAAGAUUUUGUGCCUCCUGAUGGUGGUGAUGAUUGCGGGAGCAACACCCGAAUACAUGUAUCUUCAAUCGGCCUGCUCAUCAAAGUUUGUCCGAAUAGCAAAAAAUGGCACUGUCUAUGCCGACGACAACGGACAAAGUGGUCGUCCACGUAAGUAUUGACCUGAGUAUAUUUGAUUUCAAGAAAGGAAUUUUUUUGACACGCUGAGUGAAUUGAUAACAUGCACGCUGGUAGGAUCAAUCAAUGGUCUGAUGGCAUAUGAAUUUUGAUUGCCUCUCAAUCGUGUCACUCACCUGGUAUCUAUGAGGAUGACAAGUGAUAUUACAAUUUCAACAGAACGCAUCUCACGUGCUAAGCGCACUUCCAAACCGACAAACGGUUAAAAGAAAUCGUUGGUUAUUUUAUGAAAAUUUCACAACCGAAGCCGAAAAAGAAGUUAUCAAGUUCAAACCAAUUAAGAUAUGGCUUUUUAUUGGAGCAAAAAAGGUUCCUUCUCCGGUGGUCCGAUGAGCGAUGAGAAGUUCCGCUCGCUCGUGUUAUAACUAUCAUUAUCAAUAUUGGCUUGUUGCUUUUUCUCUGUUUGGCAUGCUCUGCUCCGGUUUUCCACCCAAUCAUGCUUUUAGCCCAUUCCCAGACAGAGUGUCAACCCGGGGUGAUGCAAAAGAGCAUUGCCGCCGGAGAGAAGAUGAUAUAAGCCCUAUAAUAAAGCAAAAUCCACACAAAUGGCUUUGC